AGCGAACGCUGGCGGCAGGCUUAACACAUGCAAGUCGAGCGGGCACCUUCGGGUGUCAGCGGCAGACGGGUGAGUAACACGUGGGAACGUACCCUUCGGUUCGGAAUAACGCUGGGAAACUAGCGCUAAUACCGGAUACGCCCUUAUGGGGAAAGGUUUACUGCCGAAGGAUCGGCCCGCGUCUGAUUAGCUAGUUGGUGGGGUAACGGCCUACCAAGGCGACGAUCAGUAGCUGGUCUGAGAGGAUGAUCAGCCACACUGGGACUGAGACACGGCCCAGACUCCUACGGGAGGCAGCAGUGGGGAAUAUUGGACAAUGGGGGCAAGCCUGAUCCAGCCAUGCCGCGUGAGUGAUGAAGGCCUUAGGGUUGUAAAGCUCUUUUGUCCGGGACGAUAAUGACGGUACCGGAAGAAUAAGCCCCGGCUAACUUCGUG
rnacentral:rRNA from 1 species